rnacentral:lncRNA from 1 species
UUUGCAUCAGUAGUGAUUCAACUAACAAAAAGAAACUACUUUGUUUAUCCAGGAACUGAUCAUCUCUUUCGAAAAUGGUAAUUCUUUUUUUUUAUAAAGUUAAAUUACUUAGCAAGAAUAUAAUAUAAGAUGUGUAUGCUAAUCAAGUGUAAUUUAUUUAUUGUGCGUGAUCCUCUUCAGGUACGUCUGAGAGCCACAUGUAAUCUCAAAGCUUUUUAAAAACUUUGAAACUCAUUGACGUUGUCCUAUCAAUUAUAUAAUUUGUUAUCUUUUGGGGAUUGUUUACAUCUUUAAAUAUUUUUGUUAGAAUUACCUCUUUUCUGACUCAAGGCUUAGAGAAAGAAACCGUAAAUCAUCUCUGCUGUUACAAUGAAACCAAUG